UACGGAGGAUCCGAGCGUUAUCCGGAAUUAUUGGGUUUAAAGGGUGCGUAGGCGGCCAUUUAAGUCAGCGGUGAAAUUUUGCAGCUUAACUGUAACAGUGCCGUUGAUACUGUUUGGCUAGGAUUUGGUUGUAGUGUGCGGAAUGUGUGGUGUAGCGGUGAAAUGCUUAGAUAUCACACAGAAUAUCGAUUGCGAAGGCAGCUCACAAAGCCAAGAUUGACGCUGAGGCACGAAAGUGUGGGGAUCAAACAGGAUUA
rnacentral:rRNA from 1 species